GCCAUCAGGACACAUCCUUACCAAAACUAUUAUUUGAAGUGAAAAUGUUUUUUCACCACAUAAUUUUGCUUUUGAUGUGGUUCACUUAAUGUGGUUAGAGGAGAAGCCCUACAUCACAGGAGGAUUCUGAUUGGCUGUGAACAGGGGCGGAGCUAGGGUGUGGACCAACGAUUUUGCUACCUUGCAUUUAGCCUGUAACGCCAUCAGACCCGACAUGAAACAUGACGUGAGGAGCUGAAGCUGGUUGUGACAGCACCAGACAACUUCUGGAAAGCAGCAGUCUCAUCAGUUACCAGGCCUCUGCCAAACACCGAUCCCCAUCAGCGAGACGGCCAAGCGGAUCCCUUUUUUUUCUUCACCGAAGAUGUCAUCCCAAGCUUACGUGAUAAAAAGAACAUCAUAAAGAGGGUAUAAAGUAACUGGUGACAGAACAUAACUUUUUGGUCUCUGAGAAAAGCCACUUCAGAAACCAGCCUCGUUGAUACAUAUGUCAUAGGCAUUUAUGAAUCUAAUUAUCGGACCAAUUCGACUGAAAUGAGCAGUGAUUCAGACCCUCCAAGAG